rnacentral:lncRNA from 1 species
UAGGGAAGACUCCACUCUGGAUAUUUCUAACACCAUGAUGAGCCCCGAUGAUGAUUGGAUGACUGAUCAAAAAUUUGGAUGGUACUAAAAUUUUUUGGACUUGGAAUGCCAAGAAUAUAUGCAUGUAUUAUCAAUAAGUCCUCAUAACAAAUCAUAUUAUGCAAAUGCUUUGUAUUCUAUUGUAUUGUUUCAAAAGGUUAUCAGCAAUGAA